AGGUAUCUCCCCUUUUUAUUCUAACCGUAUUUCUCUUUUUAGAUUAAUAUAACCACUAUGCCUGGCAACAAACGCACCUGGUCUUUGGUAAAUCCUAAUCCCGAUAUUACGUAUUAUAAAGUUGUUCCAGAGAAUAAAGCGUGAUGAUUACGAUGGUCCAAUUGAAAAUGUAUGGGCCGUUCCUCGGCUAGAUGAAGUAAGAAGAUGACGAGCCUUCUGUCAUCUGGCAGUGUUGAAACUGGCGACCUUCUAGGGCUGCGGCGGUUAUUUUCUAUAAGUCCAUUUCCAGGGUUGGUUGAGGUUGUGUUCUAGGAUCACCUAUGGGCUCAACUUGGGCCCCUGUGGUAUAAUGACGUGGCAAAUAUAAGUUAAAAACAAAAGUUUUGAAAUGAAAGAAAAUAAUAUUUUCUUUCUAUUCAUGUAUAUUGUAGGGAGUUAUUGAGGUGUCGUAUUUGCAAUUAAAGCGCAUAUUGCCGUUUCUAAA